rnacentral:rRNA from 1 species
UACAGAGGGUGCAAGCGUUAAUCGGAAUUACUGGGCGUAAAGCGUGCGCAGUCGGUUAUUUAAGUCGGAUGUGAAAUCCCCGGGCUCAACCUGGGGAAUUGCAUUCGAUACUGGAUGGCUAGAGUUCGGCAGAGGGAAGUGGAAUUCAGGUGUAGCGGUGAAAUGCGUAGAUAUCUGAAGGAACAUCAGUGGCGAAAGCGACUUCCUGGACCAGAACUGACGAUCAGCACGAAAGCGUGGGGAGCAAACAGG